GGAGAGGUGGCCGAGUCGGUCUAAGGCGGGCGCCUGCUAAGCGUCUGUGGGGUUCUUAAAGCCCCACCGUGGGUUCGAAUCCCACCCUCUCCGCCA
rnacentral:tRNA from 1 species